GUAGGACUACCCGCUGAACUUAAGCAUAUCAAUAAGCGGAGGAAAAGAAACUAACAAGGAUUCCCCUAGUAACUGCGAGUGAAGCGGGAAGAGCUCAAAUUUGUAAUCUGCCUUUUGGCCGAGUUGUAAUCUGGAGAAGCGUUAUCAGGCGCCGACCGCAUUAAAGUCUCUUGGAACAGGGCGUCACAGAGGGUGAGAAUCCCGUGAGUAAUGCGGCUGCGGCGUUGUAGAGGCGCUCUCGAUGAGUCGAGUUGUUUGGGAAUGCAGCUCAAAUUGGGUGGUAAACUCCAUCUAAAGCUAAAUAUUGGCGAGAGACCGAUAGCGAACAAGUACCGUGAGGGAAAGAUGAAAAGGACUUUGGAAAGAGAGUUAAAGAGUACGUGAAAUUGCUGAAAGGGAAGCGCUUGAAGUGAGUCGCGCGGGCAGGAUUCAGCUCUGCGUAUUUCCUGCCUGUGGGCCAGCAUCGACGGUGGGCGGCGGACAAGGGCGGUGGGAAUGUGGCACCUUCGGGUGUGUUAUAGCCUGCCGUCGUACACGCUGCGUUACGUCGAGGACUGCUUAUAGGAUGCUGGCGUAAUGGCUUUAAGCGACCCGUCUUGAAACACGGACC
rnacentral:rRNA from 1 species